rnacentral:rRNA from 1 species
GUGGGGAAUAUUGGACAAUGGGCGAAAGCCUGAUCCAGCCAUGCCGCGUGUGUGAAGAAGGUCUUCGGAUUGUAAAGCACUUUAAGUUGGGAGGAAGGGCAGUAAGUUAAUACCUUGCUGUUUUGACGUUACCGACAGAAUAAGCACCGGCUAACUUCGUGCCAGCAGCCGCGGUAAUACGAAGGGCGCAAGCGUUAAUCGGAAUUACUGGGCGUAACGCGCGCGUAGGUGGUUUUGUAAGUUGGAGGUGAAAUCCCCGGACUCAACCUGGGAACUGCCUCCAAAACUGCAUGACUAGAGUACGGUAGAGGGUAGUGGAAUUUCCUGUGUAGCGGUGAAAUGCGUAGAUAUAGGAAGGAACACCAGUGGCGAAGGCGACUACCUGGACUGAUACUGACACUGAGGUGCGAAAGCGUGGGGAGCAAACAGGAUUAGAUACCCGAGUAGUCC